AGCAAUAGCACUUUUGAAAGAUAAACCUCCAGGGACAUUUAUUGUUAGAGAUAGUAAUUCCUUCCCUGGUGCCUUUGGUCUGGCUUUAAAAGUAGCUACCCCUCCUCCUAAUGUCCAACCUACAGGAGACAUAUCUAAUGAAUUAGUUCGGCAUUUCCUUAUUGAACCAUCAUCUAAAGGAGUUAGACUAAAAGGAAAUCCCUUUGAACCAAUUUUUGGUAGCCUUUCAGCUUUAGUAUAUCAACAUACGAUUACACCUCUUGCAUUGCCCUGCAAACUUGUUUUACCUGAAUAUGGUAAAUAUUACAAAUCUCUUAUUUAAUGUUGUUUACAUAUACUUAUAUAUUUUUAGUAUAUUGAUAUUUAGUAAUGUUUAUAUUUGGAAUACCUGGAAAGAAAUUUUGAGUAGUAAUUCUUUGAAGUUAAGCAAGAAAAUUAAGAGAUUAGUUUUUCAAUUUGAAUAGUAGAUAACAAGAAAUAGAGGAAAUUUUAAAUUUAAGUUCUUACCAUCCCAAUUUGUUCAGCUAUCAUUGUUAGUUAACUGAUAUUUUUAAUUAGUGCUUGAUCACUGUUUCUUCUUAUUAGUAAACAAUAUUUCAGUAA